CAGCAGCCGCGGGAAUACGUAGGGUACAAGCGUUAAUCGGAAUUACUGGGCGUAAAGCGUGCGCAAGCGGUUAUAUAAGUCAGAUGUGAAAUCCCCGGGCUCAACCUGGGAACUGCAUUUGAGACUGUAUGGCUAGAGUGUGUCAGAGGGGGGUAGAAUUCCACGUGUAGCAGUGAAAUGCAUAGAUAUGUGGAGGAAUACCGAUGGCGAAGGCAGCCCCCUGGGAUAACACUGACGCUCAUGCACGAAAGCGUGGGGAGCAAACAGGAUUAGAUACCCCCGUAGUCCCUGUCUCUUAUAC
rnacentral:rRNA from 1 species